CCUCCUCCUCCUCCUCCUCCUCCUCCUCCUCUUCCUCCUCCUCUGGCCAAUUAGCAUGUCAACAGACUCCGGCGUCGCCGCUGUGAGGAAGAAGAGGACACGCAGACGCAGCUGCGGUCCAACUUUUUCUCCCUCUGAUUAAAUGAAUCCCUGUGAAAAAAAUCUUCCCCCCCCCCCGCUUCUUUUUUCUUCCUUUUUUUUUUUUUUUUUUUUACACAUUUGGCUGCUGAAUCAUCUUCGCGGGAGUGUAUAUUCGACGAUCGCAAGGGGAUCUGCCACAUAACUCUUAAGUGUUCAUGGAAAUGCAAAGAGAAGAUGGUAAAAAGAAAAGAAAAAAACAGCCUGCGCCACAAAUAUUCAUCCUAACAACUCACAGAAAAUUUCAGUGAUUUAACAUACGGGCCCCCAAGCCACGGAGACCAGAGUUGGGCCCCACGUCCUGAGAAAGAAGGGUGUCAGAGCAAAGACCGCUGAAACCUGAUCGGUGACAUCUUUUGCCCUGGUGCUCGCACACGAAGCCCCGAGUCGUCGGCUGAUGUGAACGGGUUGGGUUCAGUCACAGUAACCUUGAUGAGGACGUGAACAAACAUCAAACACUGACAUCAGCUGUUUGUGAGUGCCGCCGGACCAUAACUGCUCACAGCUUCCAAUAGCGUUCGAAGAGGAAGAGAUCAAAGGUCAUGGAUGACUGGGGGAAGAGCCAGGGGGUCAUUCACAUCUGACACCAGAGACCUUUGAGAUCCAAGUUCCAUGCUUGAGUCACCAUAUCUGUAUAAUACAAUAUAAUACAAGAAAAUCGGAAUAUUUUGUACGUUUUUCCUUUCUUUUUUUUCGGUGAAGAAUUGAUUUUCCUCAAACUUGAAUGAAAGUCUCUGCUGCUGACUUACACUUGCAAAUGACCGCUCCUUAGCGAAGUAGCAGGAAGUGACAUGCCUAAUGAGCAAAUUGCCAAAACCAACCUCUUUUACGAGCCAGAUGAGGACCAAUUAAGGAAGUCCAUCAAUGACAGAACUGCUGAGCAGGCCCAAGACUUUAAAGCUUUGAUGAGGAGGAUGCUGGGAUGGGUUUGUCAGGACAAGUUUCCUUUGGAAGUGAGGACAAUCAUUAACAUAAUCAAGGUUCCGAGGCAACUGGAGGAAUUGUCUCACUAGACGCCAGCAGCAGUGGGCCCUGAAAUAUGCUCACUGUCUUCAAAGCUGCGUGUCCUCAGUCCUGGCAGUUUGUAUCUCUCACACACAAACCCCAGCUGAGAACAGAGACUCGGAUUUGGCCCAUAAUUGAAAUUACAUUCUAUUAAGUAGCACCAGGCUACUUCCUAGUGUAGCCAACAGCUUUUUUCAUAUAUCUAUGGGAGGGUCCCUUAAAAGUAUGCAAACCAAAAGUUGUUGCUGAUGUUCCUCUCCUGAUGCGAAGAUUGAUUUGAAUCCUGUGUGUGUGUGUGUGUGUGGGUUAAUGCACAGAGCUAGAGUCAGCUGUUCCUUAGCUUAGCACAAGACUGGAAGCAGGGGGCAAAGCGAACACGAUGUAAGCCUCGAAGCCGUCUCUCGUCGUCAGCAUUCACUGACAUAACUCAACGUUCCUGUGAAUACUGAAUUCCGGCGACGAUGAUGGGCCUAUAUUAGGGUAUUAAAUAAGGGCUGUUACCUCUGUAAUCCAGAUAAUGUCUACUGAGCAAUGGUUUUAAAUAACCUCUCACAUCUGGGUCAUGCUCAGUUCAAAUCAGAUCCCUCUCCUUCCUGUUCAAAUCCAACCAAACUACCCAGAGGUGCUGGCUUUGCACACACAAACCCACACGCGCACACACACAGGGAUUUGUGAAACUCUUUAUAUCAUGUUUCCCCUUUUAUUGCCUUUCAAAGACAUGCGUGUAAAAGUUAUUUAUUUAUCCCAGACACAUAGGUGUCAGAGCACUACAGCACAGACUCCUGUUUAGGACAAAGUCUUCAGGAAGCUGCCAAUGGGUCUAAACCAUAGCAAGACACAUUAGAGCAUGAGUCAGUGUGUUAACUUAAAGCAGCAGAUGCAUUAUGAACGACACAGAUGAGAGUGUGGGAUCCGUUGCCUCACUGCAGCACUAUGUUUCUAAGAAGUGACGGCAUAGGUAUCUGACGUGAUUUGUUUAUUUGGGGAUUAGAUGUCCUCGGAGUUCUCUCUAAAACAUCUGGAUUAAAAAUGGAUGUGCGUCACACAUGAAGAUUGGAAGUUUUCACUGUUGUCAGUAAAGUAAGGUCUUAGCCCCUGCUGUCAUUCGAAGGCAGAGUGGAGGAGCUUUAUGACAUUGUGCCAUUCCUCAGAUUCUGUAGUCUGGUGUUCAGAUGUGUGAAAUCUUCAAGGCAAGGAAUAGGGACUCAUUUGAAUGCGUGAAAGAAAUACUUUAU